CAUACAUACAUUAUUGAUUGAAUAAAUGCACUCAAAUUAAAAUCCAAGAUAUUUCAGUAUGAGAUCAUGCUACCGCAAUGAAAAACUGUUACUGUAUUUCUGUCAUGUUCACCCAUUAGCAUACAUACAGUGUGUUUAAUGGAAUCGGGUAUUCUAACUUACUAAUAAUUUUUUUUAAGUUUAUUGUGUAUGUCUGACUCUAGUGUACUAAUUAUCCGAAUCUGAAAAACAACAUAAGUCAUCUGAAAAAUGUUGCAUCUUUAUUGACUUUUUAAGCAGCCAUUAGCUUGCAGGUAUCCUCCUUGGGUCCAGCUCAUCUACAUGUUCACCUGCGCAGGGGAGAUGAGAUCCUCUGAUUCAGCAAAUCGCUGGUUUCUCCUCCCGUCCAUAUUAUCGACGCUGCCGGAGGGCCGUGGAGGAUGCCGGGGCACGAGGCUGCUGGGGGCGGAAAGAGCCGGCGGAUCUGUCGGGGGUAGGGCAUGCAGGCGGGCGGGCGGGCGCUCAGGGCUGGAGCCGCAGAUUAUUCUGGAAAUUGCCAGCUGCAGUGUCUGCAAUCAGGAUCAAACUGGUUCCGGGUGGGGGAGGUGAAAGUCACUGUCGAUUUUUGUCAAGCCAGCCUGUGCCUGCGCAUCUCCCGACUGAGCGGGAUGACAUUCACUAGGGCGAUGGUGGAAAUGUCCCACCACCUCAUUCUCUCCUUAAUAAUUCAUCCUCCUGCCUGGGCUCCUCCGACUGCAGCCGCCCUGCCUGCCUGUCUUUAAUGGAGCUGGUGGUUGCCAGCGCUAACAUCUUAACAUUCAAAUAAUACAGAGACUCCAGGCUAGAGUAAAAUCAAUGGCAGAUCGAGAAAGCAUAAUGAAAAGCAAUGCACAUCCUGCAGCCACCUUCCCAGCUGUAUUGCUGAAAUGCAGCAGCACAUCCAGGAUUCCUCCUAUUUUCACACAAUGAUCCUCACUCUCACCCGGCUCCUCAUCUUUGUCUCCUUCCUGUAUCCUCUUCUUUUCUCCUCUUCAGCUCCAAGAAUUGUAGCUUUCCUGAAACAAGCAGCAGAGCCAUGAGACACACCCUGAUUGCACCCUACUACUGGAGCUAACACUCCAACCCAAUCUAUAUUUGCCCAGUGUAUGUCCAGUUCUUUGCCACCAGGAAGAAACACAGAGGCAGCCAUUUUGGAACAGCUCUAUAGAGCUGUACGUAAUGGAGCCCUGCAUGGGUCUCCGCAGACAAAACGCGCUGCAGCAAACCCAUUUCUGUUUGUGCCUGUGAUGCGCUCUGCUUUUCCUCCAAGGUGAACGUAGCAAUUUUAACAAAAUUUCAGUCAUUUCUGCACUCAAAAAGUCUGAGCUACGCUGAUUUUGAAUAACCCAUGAAGUUACCACGGGAGCUAAAGAGAAGCAGCCUGCUCACCUAAAAGGAAGACUCAUGGGCGAACAAUGCAGAGGGAAGGUGUGCAGUUUAUUUCAGCGCUGAUGGUGGGGGCGAGGGGUCUGUGUCUGCUUGUCUCCAGUGAUGCGGGGUUGAUUUCUUUCGGCAGGCCUGUGAAUGCCCUGAGGCGACAGGGAUAAGAGCCACAGAGGCAAGAAGGGCAAGAGGAAGAAUCUGGCCUACGGAGACUCUGAGGUGAUGACCCUCUGCAUGGACUGGAACAAUUCGCAGCCAAGUGUGAAGCGACCUGAAUGAGAGUCGGCUCCCUCUAGGUUGGAGGAGUCUUGGUGUCUCGGUAACAGGUGAUGGUGGGAUAGAAAGGGAUAUGAACAGACAGAGUGGGGCCUCGUCUGCAGUAAUAAGGCCGAUGAUUCGGUCUGAUGUGGAGGAGAAAAAGCAGAACCAAAAGGCAAACCUCUCCAUUCACCAGGAUGUCAGUUUUCCAGCUCUCAAAUAAUUCUUGGCAUUUGAAUUGUGACUGAAAGAACAAAAUUUUGAGCAGAUAAAGUUGAAUUUUUGUCCUCAGAUGUUUCUCUGGUUUAUGUACUUUAUUUCUUAUUGUAUUGGAGGCUGAUUUAAUUUCAUUCAGUUGUGAAUCGCUGUUCUUACGCUGGGCUACUUACAGUCUGAUCUAAACAGCAUCUCAGAGCCUGCAGAGGAAUUUAGACUGAGACGGAGGAAACAUUCAUCCAGAACUAAAGUUGAAUGGUUUACAUCAUCACAUAGUUAUAUAUUAAAAUGAUCCAGUCAAAGUUCAGGCCUAAACCAAACUGAGAAUGUGUGACAUGAAAAUGAACGUUCAGAAUGUUCUCCAUUCAAUCUGAUUAAGAUUGAAUCAUGUAAAGAAGAUGAAAGCAUUUUCUGUCUUGAGACAAUUUUUUAUUUUUCAUAUUUAAUUUUAAACUUCGUGGCAAAGGCUGUGAUUAAUUAUAUGAAUGCGAGUUCUUGGUUUUCUAUUUUUAAUAAAUUCGUAAAACACUGAAAAACUUUUUUCCACAUUGUCAUGAUGGGGGUAUUUGUAAUAUUAUUCAAUUUGGAAUAAGGGUGUAACAUAAAAAUGUGAAAAAAGUGAAACACUGAAUACUUUCCAUGUGUACUAAAGUUUGGUUAUGAUGCCUGUUAGUAUUACUUUAGUGAUUUUUAAAAAAAUCAAAUUCACUUAUUUCAAAAUGGUUUAAGACACAAUGAUUUGAAGAUGCAAAUUGUGGUAUUUAUAAUAACCUUCCCUACUGUUAAUUUUCUAAUUCUUCAAGUCGUCAGGAAAAAAAAGAGACUUUCAGUUGUAUGUUUUAAUAAAUGUCAUUACGCCUGAAGCAGUUGGAAGUUUCCAAUUUGCUUUUAAUGUCAAGAACAAGAUUUUCUCUACACAUUCAAGUCAGGAAGCAUUAAGGUCACUUCAGAUAUUUACUUCAUGUGGACAUAAUGGAUUUCUCACAAUAGUCUAAUGACCAUAAUUAUACAAGUUACUAUAGAAACCUCAACUAAAGGUUUGAUUUGUUUUGCUUUAACUCCUUGGCAGUUUUAAUUGCUGUGAUCUGCGAUAAGACCACAUGGCCAGCUGGCUUUUCACAGUAUUUUUGUAUUUAAUGCAGCUGUGCCCCAGAAAUUGCUAAUAUUUCUCUCUCUCUCUCUCUGCAAAGGAGCAAAUAAGUUACAGACAACUUGAUUAAUAUGCAAAAUUAAAAGUUUGUAAAUAUUUAGCGUGCAAAGGAAUUAAUUAGCUGAACUAAAGCUGGAAACUUGUGGGUUUUAAAUUGAAAAAAUAAAAAUCAGGGCCAUUUUGUGGUCAGUUUAAAAAUGAGUCUUUUUUUAUGUUUUGCUGCUCAUAUAACCCUGACCAUAAAGGCCCCGAGCUUUCACUUGUAUAUCCUCUGAAAGAAGCAAAAAAUGAUUGAGUGAACAGAGUUUCCGAUUAAAAACCUUUUAAUGAAAAAGCAGUAAGUCAUUGAAGUGGUUAAAUUGAAAAUAUAUCUCACACGGAGUGUUAUAAUUGCCAGAGUUUCAUAACUUUCAGCAGACGGACUGUGUUGUUCCCAGGUGUUUCCUUCACUUUCAGGACUUUCUGUUGGGUUUCAACUCCUUUUUCUGCCUCUGAGCCCACAGAGGACACAACUUCCAUCCACACAUCGAAGACGGCAGGUCUCAAUCGGUCAUGGUGGCUGGCCUUCUGGCCCCGACACAUCCUUCACUAUUACAGAGCUAUCGAUCGCUUAAUUACACAACGUAGGUCAAAUUUCCCAUGACAGAUGAUAAUGUGAAAAACAAGGCUGGGAACAAUAUAAAAGGGAGGCAAAAUAAAAAAAAAAA